UAUUCCAAUCUAAUGAGUAGAUGUGAAUUUUGGUAAGUCUCACAACAUACUAUGUAAAGUUUUGAUUCAGUUGGUGUAACAAUAUUUGGCGAAAUUAAGGAGGGGUGAAUGUAACACGGUUAACACAGUUAACUUAAAUAUAUAAAUGUUCGCCAAAUAUCUCAGAUCUGCAAGAGGUUAAAUUCCUGACAGGAAGAAUCACUUGGACUGUACCAAAAUACUGACCAAAAGUGCAGAAUAUACCUUUGAAUGUUUUACUGUUAAUUAUGUUCUAGUUAAGAAAUAAAUAGUUCUAACAGAGCAGCUAACUUCUGUGGGAAAGAUCAUAGCCACACUCUAAACAGAAUCUUUACCAGACCAUAAUCCUUAAUGGACUUUCCCUUACCCCCUGUCUAUAUCCUACCAUUUGGUCUGGUCCCUCCUCAGUGCUUUAGUUCCACAGAAGAGGUAAGAUGUCUGUUACUGCUCUAAUCACCUCAAAAGUUUUAUGGUUGAUUUUAAGAGUUAUUCUUUUGCUGAAUCAACUUGUCUUACCUCCAGCUAUAGCAGCAUUAUGCUUUUAUCAGGUUAGUAGUGUGUAGCAUAUUCCCAAAGUGAUUAAUGGAGACAGGCAGAGCACAUGGGAUCUAAAAUGUCUGCCAUGAGAAAACCUGUAUGCUGUAAUCCUCACAGUUAUAAACUGCUUAUUGUACUAUGCUGAGGUUGUUAUGUACUAAUGUGCUAUGUAUAUUAGCUAUGUUGCUUUUCCUUACAUUUUCCUGUAAUAUGUCAGUGGGGGUGUAUUGAAUUAACUGCCUGUUGUAAUGUAGGUGGGCUGGUGGCCUGUGAUGAACCUGAAAUUGGCAGCGUUCUCCUUACUGUUUUACAGGUCCCCAGCAGACAGUGCCAAUCAAUAAAGCAUUGUAAAGUUAUGAUAUCUCUGCCUGUGUUCGAGUCCUUAUGCCUGUUGCAGUAACAACCCCUACACUGGUGGAGUGUGUGGAAUAGAGGGCCACGUGGGUCGGUGUGACAGAAAGAGAGGGUUACAUAGGCCAGCCUAAAAAGAUGAUUUUUGGACUCAACGAUGCAGCUUGGACUGCAGCUUCUCAGCUUCAUCAACGUUUGGCUAUGGAUGUGGAUUUUUUUCUUAAAUUUUUUUUUAGAUUAUUUGUUAUAUUUUGUUAUAAAUGAAUUUAAAUAAUUAAAUUAUUACGUUAAAGCAAAAUGAAAAACUGGGCAUAGGUAG